CGUAAUCUUAUUUCAGUAAGGCUUUUGGUACUGUCCUUUAUGACAUCAUUCUGGACUAGCUGUCCAACUAUGAGGUAAACAAGUUCAUACUACACUGGGAGGUGUACCAGCUCAACAGCAGAGUUCAAAUGGUUGUAGUGAAUGGGGCUACAUCUGGCUGACAGCCAUUCAUUGGUAGUGGUCCCUCAAUUCUAGGGACAGUUCUGUUCAACAUUUUUAUCAGUGUUCUGGAAGCUGCAGUGGAAAGUCUUCUCAGCAGAUUUGUUCACAAUACUGAACUGGGAGGUGCUGCUGACUCCCUGGAGUACAAGAGGCCAUGCAGAGGGAUCUAGAUAUGCUGGAGUGUUGACCAAUCAUCAGUGGCAUGAGGUUCAGCAAAGACCUCACCAGUGAAGGUGUCAGAAGGAAGGCAUAGUUCUACCAGAACAAUUUGGGGUGUUGUCUGGAGGAUCACAGUAACAGAAACAAAAAUACGCUGUAGGGACCUGGAUGGGCUUAAGAAAUGGGCUGACAAGGAUCUCACGAAGUCAAACAGGAAAAAUGCACCUGGGGUUCUUCUUCAUGGGGAGGAAUUAUCCCAAGCACAACAGACUAAAGAUGACCUGCUUGAAAGAAGCUAUGCAGAGAGGGUCCUUGGA